CAGACAGGAGCGGGGAGGACAGACAGGCGUGCACAGAGAGUGACACACUGACAGACGGGGACAGGGAAGGGCUGCCACCCAGACACAUGCUAACAAGGAUGGGCACACACUCGGUGUCAGGAAGGGGCAGUUAGGCGGUCGGACGCACUUGGGCAGGGGACCCCUGGCCAGGGCAGAAACCCAAGGCAAAGUGGAGACCGGACGGCAGGUAGAGGGGCUCCCUUGCCCAGUUGCUGGCAGGGUCCCUUUGUUCUUAGGACCUUUACUCCUUGGCCCGUGGAGCAGGUGUCAUAACAUUCCCUGCCUUCAGAGACACACAGACCAUUGUGGCUCCCAGACAUCAGCAAGCACAUCUCUGUCCUGCCUGCAGGUGCAAAGUGCUGACUCCUGAAGAGCUCAGCCGGCCUGAGCCCGAGAGGCUUCUCAAGACAGCAGAAUUUCAAACUAAAACCAGGUAGCCCCGUGCAAGCCAGGCUGAAUCUGUCACUCCCCAGAGCCCUGCCUGGCCAUCAAGGAUGGCCCCGCUGUGUCCAGCUGCACAGAAGCCGUCUGUCCUGUCCGACCCAUGCUGACACUGUUGCCACCAGAUUCUCAAGUUCUUGUCUGCAAACUCCCUGCAUCAUUCCUCACUCAGCAAAACACUGUGAGCUCUGCAUUGUGCCCCUGGCAUGGCUUGGCCAGCCUGGUGCCCCAGGGCCUGCAAGACUCGCUCUGUUCAACCAGAAGAUAAUCUUCUCUGGUUCCCUGAAUCCAAAGGUAGAAGUUACUUUGCUUUCUUCGAUGUGAAGAUUCACUUCCUGCUCAGAGUCCUCACCUGAAAUGCAACCUCCUAUGCUCAGCGUUAAAACUUCCUGUGUAACAUCAAACCUCCCCCCACAGCAACCAAUACCCAGGUGUAUCCCAGGUUAACACAGCUUCCCACACCCUGGACUAGAAACGCACAUGGCAGAGUCCUGUGGAGAUCUCUAGGUCUUACUGCACACGCAAAUUUCCUGAAAGCCUCUAGCUGGGCUGAGAAACAGGCCCCAGCUGCUUACCUCACAGCUGUGAAAAGCAAGCUGUCAGUGGGUCCGAGCGUGGAAGGUGCCUCCGAGGCCCACGCAGCCGUAAACGUGGUGUCUUUCACCCCAUGGAUUGUGGUGGUUCUAGUCUAGAAAGCUGCGGGAGAGGUGGAGCUCAAGAACGCUGAAGGCUCUGAGGUGUGACCAGGGUCAGAGAGCCGUGAAGGUAAGGAGUCCCCCACAACAUUUCUGGGUUCAAGGACCAUGACUUCACAAGCGAUGUAACUAAUUUAAAAAUUGUUUAUCUUCUUAAGAAAGCAAAGCCUUUUGAUCUGAAAUAAUAGUUGGGGAUGGAAUUGACCUAGAGUUGGUGUUUUUCAGUUAUAAGAAAGUGUUUA